UGAGCACUGUGAUGACCGGUGGUUGGAUGGGCCUUGCGCCUAAGAAGCAUCAUGUCAUGAAGUGCCACGUUGAGUUUGCUAGGAGGAUUUGGAUUGGAUUGAAUCUGACGCGAAUAGAUUGCUAUGAUUUGUCAACAGUUGCGACCCCAGUUUAGGCGGGACUACCCGCUGAGUUUAAGCAUAUCAAUAAGCGGAGGAAAUCA
rnacentral:rRNA from 1 species